rnacentral:rRNA from 1 species
UACGGAGGAUGCGAGCGUUAUCCGGAUUUAUUGGGUUUAAAGGGUGCGUAGGCGGACGCUUAAGUCAGUGGUAAAAUUGCGGGGCUCAACCUCGUCGAGCCGUUGAAACUGGGUGCCUUGAGUGGGCGAGAAGUACGCGGAAUGCGUGGUGUAGCGGUGAAAUGCAUAGAUAUCACGCAGAACUCCGAUUGCGAAGGCAGCGUACCGGCGCCCUACUGACGCUGAAGCACGAAGGCGUGGGUAUCGAACAGG